rnacentral:tRNA from 1 species
GGAUGCUUAGCUCAGCCAGGUGAGCGUGGCGCUAACAAUGCCAAGGAUGUGGGUUCGAUUCCCGUUCGGUCCC